UAAGCCAUGCAUGUCUAAGUAUAAAUAACUACACAGUAAAACUGCGAAUGGCUCAUUAAAACAGUUAUAGUUUAUUUGAUACAUAAAAUGGAUAACUGUAGAAAAACUAGAGCUAAUACAUGCCAAGACCGCAAGGUCGUAUUUAUUAGAUAUACCAAGCAGGUCAAUCAUAAUAACUUCGCAAAUCGUGGCCACGCCGCGAUAAAUCAUUCAAGUUUCUGCCCUAUCAUGCUUUCGAUGGUAGUGUAUUGGACUACCAUGGCUCUCACGGGUAACGGGGAAUUAGGGUUCGAUUCCGGAGAAGGAGCCUGAGAAACGGCUACUACAUCUAAGGAAGGCAGCAGGCGCGCAAAUUACCCAAUCCCGACACGGGGAGGUAGUGACAAAAAAUAACAAUACCAGGCCCUACGGGCUCGGUAAUUGGAAUGGGUACAAUUUAAAUCCCUUAACGAGGAUCAAUUAGAGGGCAAGUCUGGUGCCAGCAGCCGCGGUAAUUCCAGCUCUAAUAGCGUAUAUUAAAGUUGUUGCAGUUAAAAAGCUCGUAGUUGAAUUUUGAGGGUGGCCGGGCUGGCGGCUUCGGUUGUCCGGUUGGGCUGCCCUCUUUCUUCUGGGGACCGCAGCGCACUUAACUGGGCGUUGUUGGGACGCAGAUCGUUUACUGUGAAAAAAUUAGAGUGUUCAAGGCAGGCGUUUGCUUGAAUACAUUAGCACGGAAUAAUGGAAUAGGACGUCGGACCUAUUUUGUUGGUUUCUAGGACCGUCGUAAUGAUUAAUAGGGACAGUUGGGGCCGUUCAUAUUC
rnacentral:rRNA from 1 species